GCUUCUGGCUAUCUUACGCUGAAAACAUUAGUUCCCGUCUGCUUACCAAAGUUAAACAACGUUUACUAAGUCUAAUACUCGGAUGAAUCAUCCUUGGGAAUUUCAAACGUUGUAAGCA
rnacentral:rRNA from 1 species